AUAGCGUAUAUUAAAGUUGUUGCAGUUAAAAAGCUCGUAGUUGAAUUUUGGACCUGGCUGGGUGGUCUUGCCGCAAGGUAAGCACUGCCUCUGGUCGGUUCUUUCCUUCUGGGGAACCUGUGUGCCCUUAAUUGAGUGCGCAGGGGAUCCAGGACUUUUACUUUGAAAAAAUUAGAGUGUUUAAAGCAGGCUUUCGCUUGAAUACAUUAGCAUGGAAUAAUAGAAUAGGACUUUGGUUCUAUUUUGUUGGUUUCUAGGACCGAAGUAAUGAUUAAUAGGGAUAGUUGGGGGCAUUAGUAUUUAAUUGUCAGAGGUGAAAUUCUUGGAUUUAUUAAAGACUAACUUCUG
rnacentral:rRNA from 1 species